UAAGCGUGUGGUGAAAUUUUGGGGCUCAACCCCAAAACUAUUACACGAACUGCAUAGCUAGAGUAUAUGAGGGGUACCUGGAAUUCCUGGUGUAGGAGUGAAAUCCGUAGAUAUCAGGAGGAACACCAAUGGCGUAGGCAGGGUACUGGCAUAUUACUGACGCUAAGGCACGAAAGCGUGGGGAGCGAACGGGAUUAGAUACCCCGGUAGUCCACGCCGUAAACGAUGGAUGCUA
rnacentral:rRNA from 1 species